UACGGAGGGGGUUAGCGUUGUUCGGAAUUACUGGGCGUAAAGCGUACGUAGGCGGAUCAGCAAGUUGGGGGUGAAAUCCCGGGGCUCAACCCCGGAACUGCCUCCAAAACUGUUGGUCUAGAGUUCGAGAGAGGUGAGUGGAAUUGUGAGUGUAGAGGUGAAAUUCGUAGAUAUUCACAGGAACACCAGUGGCGAAGGCGGCUCACUGGCUCGAUACUGACGCUGAGGUACGAAAGUGUGGGGAGCAAACAGG
rnacentral:rRNA from 1 species